rnacentral:lncRNA from 1 species
UCUGGUACUGAUCAGCAUAGACUAUUGUUUGAGGUGAGUAUAGCACCCUAUAUAAGGAGGGAAACUCUUCCUGCUGACACUUUAAAAUGUCUGUCCUCAGACGUAAGAUUUCAGGGUUAUCAGACAGUGGCACUGACGCCCUUCCCGAGUGCUGAUAAGCACGGGCCAGGUUUGCCCACAUGGCGGAGAGAAGGCAUGAUGCUGCUAACAGUAACAGUGCGCCUGCUUUUUUGCCCUACAACCGCUGCCAUGUACUGUGUUUCUGGAGCUAAAAUGCAGCUGAAGUUCCACAGCGGCAGGAGGCUGAGCAGGAGUCACUUCUUUGCUGGAUCUAUUCUUGCUCGACUCUCAAAUCAUCUUCCUUUAACUCUCUCUGCAUGUAACGUUCCCAUUUUAUACUACAGGGUCUGGAGCUGACAGCACCCUAGGCUAAGGUCAGGCCUUCUAU